UCAGCUUCUGGUCCGGUACUCCCUCCAAUAACCCUAGUUUGUCUUUUUCUCUUCAUUUUUACUGAUUUCUAUCCCACCCGUGCAUUUGUUUUGAGAUUUCAGCUCUUGUGACAUCAUCUCUGCAAAUUAUGCAUUGAGAUUUUUGAGAGAUUUCUUGAAAUUUCUGUUUAAUGAGUGGUGUUAAUGUAACAUAUAGAUUUUAAUAUCUGGAAAACUUCAUUUUUUAUCAUCCACUACUUUCUCUUAAUUAAUUUAACAUCAUUUGCCUUUCUUACUGGUCAUAGUAUAAUUCUGAGGUAAUAAGGUGGCAUUUUUAAUUUAACUAUUCAUAGAACUUCUGGGAGAAAUUUUAUGUCUAGUUCAGAAGGCAUGGCAGCAUUUUAAAUUUGAUUGUGGAGUAUUCUAACCAAAUCUUCAAGAGCCGUAACUCGAGGUGAAACCUGCCAACACUUUCUUUAGCUUGCCCAUGGUGAUGUGAAGAUGAGAAGAAAUAGCAAGGCCCAACCAGUUCUUCAUCUGGAGACAGUUCAACGUUCUGCAAACCAGGAGCUCUUUCUGAGAUGAAGAGAAUUCUCAAUGUCAAGAUUUGAACAAGAAGAGAAUGGAAUACACAAUAUGGACAUCCAUAAAAAUUCAUCAGAGAGCAUUUUACUACUGAGCUGCAAAGGUAGGAAAAAUAAAUUUUUUUUGGUUAGAAAAUAUACUUCUUUCAUCUGCGUUUCAAUAAUUUAUUCCCCUUGUUAGAUAUACAUGGAAUUGAUAUUGCUUAUUCUGACUAAGUGAAAAGUGUUAUUUCUACUUACUGCUCAAUUAGAAACAUGUAGUGUUUAAUUGUCAGUUUGAAUUUUUCUUUCAUACUAUUACAGUUUAUAUUUUACUAUAGGCAGAAUUUCCUCUUUAUCCUAAAUUUUGAUAUUCUCCAUAAUUUCAUCGUGCCUUGACAUUGCUGUAUAUAAUUUCUAUACAUCAGGAAGGCAAUUCUGUGUGCAUGUGUGUGUGUAUAUAUAUAGUUAGAAGUUAGAAACUGAAACUCUUUUUUGUCUACCAUCAUUUCAUAUUUUUCUUGCUAUUUCAAACCUAUAAUUUUUAAAGAAACGACUAACGUAAUCAUUCAUAGAAUAUGCUGUCAGUAACUUAACAAUAUAAAUGUUAACAUGGAGGCAUUUAGUUCAGCAUUUGCUUUACUUAAUAGAGUGCAGAAAAUGUGGCCCUUUUCUCAGUUAGGGUGUAUGUGAAGAUAAAUUUAGAAUUUCUAGACUAGUAAAUACUUCUCUGAUAAUAACUUAAUUAUAGCUAUUUCAAACCAAAUUGUUUAAUUGUGGUGAAUCAUAUGUAAAUUGUUCAGAUGUAGGUCAACACCCACGCCCACAUUCUAGCACCUCUUUCCUAAUUCAAGACAACUUUGCAGUGCCUAAAAGAGCUGAACAGUGCAGAUUAGAGACAUAAGACAAAAAAAAAAAAAAAA
rnacentral:lncRNA from 1 species